rnacentral:rRNA from 1 species
AACGAACGCUGGCGGCAUGCCUAACACAUGCAAGUCGAACGAGACCUUCGGGUCUAGUUGCGCACGGGUGCGUAACGCGUGGGAACCUUCCCUUAGGUUCGGAAUAACUCCCCGAAAGGGGUGCUAAUACCGGAUAAUGUCUUCGGCCCAAAGAUUUAUCGCCUUUGGAUGGGCCCGCGUUGGAUUAGCUAGUUGGUCGGGUAAAAGCCUACCAAGGCGACGAUCCAUAGCUGGUCUGAGAGGAUGAUCAGCCACACUGGGACUGAGACACGGCCCAGACUCCUACGGGAGGAAGAAGUGGGGAAUAUUGGACGAUGGGCGAAAGACUGAUCCAGCAAUGCCGCGUGAGUGAUGAAGGCCUUAGGGUUGUAAAGCUCUUUUAACCGGGAUGAUAAUGACAGUACCGGGAGAAUAAGCGCCGGCUAACUCCGUG